GAAAUGCGAUAAGUAGUGUGAAUUGCAGAAUUCAGUGAAUCAUCGAAUCUUUGAACGCACAUUGCGCCCCUUGGUAUUCCAUGGGGCAUGCCUGUUCGAGCGUCAUUUGUACCCUCAAGCUCUGCUUGGUGUUGGGUGUUUGUCCCCGUCUCCGCGCGUGGACUCGCCCCAAAGUGAUUGGCAGCCGGCGUACUGGUCCCGGUGCGCAGCACAUGUCGCGCAAACGAGUGCCUUGGUACGGCGGCGUCCAUAAGCCCCUCUCUCACGCUCUUGACCUCGGAUCAGGUAGGGAUACCCGCUGAACUUAAGC
rnacentral:misc_RNA from 1 species